AAUUUUCCAAAUAGCUGCUCUAUGCGCGACAUUUCCCUCUACAAACAUUCGCACACGCAAACUUUGUAGUUAGUUCCUUUUUUGAUUUCUCUGCGCACAAUUGCGUGAUUUUUAUGCAAAAAUCUGCUGCUCACAAUUGAAAUAGGAUGUUCUGUUAGUAGCUUUAUACUAGAAAAGAGCAAUUGACUAGUCAGUUAAGAGAUAAAUGUUAUGCCAUAUAACAGCUUCAUUAGCAGCCAGCUAGGUCGACCAGUCCGCCAGCUUGCUGCCUGUGAAUUUACAGCCGCAAAUCAGAGAGUUAUUGCGAUUACAAAAUAACGCUGUGUGGCAAGGAAGGAAGCAGCGUCUGGGCGGCGGCAAAAGCAACGCUAACUGCGAAGCCAGCGAAUACCGACUUUGCAAAAAGUUCAAUUGCUUCGUGCGAAUUAGUAGCACAUACUACGUUGAAGCGGUGAGGGUAUAUGAAAAAGAUUUGUUGUGCGUGCAAAUGAGUUUGGAAAAAAAAAAUAGAAUAAUAAGUAUAAAAUACAAUAAAUGAAUGUAUACAGCGAAAUCGGCUGAAGGGAAAAAAAAAUUGUGUGCCAAAAAUCGUGAUUGUAAAAAGUGCAAGUGUAGUGGUGCAAGCGAAUUAUGCGAGAAAAAAAUAAUUUAAAUAAUUGAUAAAAAUCGAAGUGUUUGUAACAAAAGCCAAAUCUAUGCGUAUUUAAUCAAAGGCACUAAAAUAAUAAUCCAGUAAUAAUCUACGGCAAAUAAUUUCGGCAAAUGAAGCGCUGUCGCUGAUAACUGACCUCAUUCAACUUGUUUCAGCGCACACAUACAUACAUAAAUGCCAUAGCAAUAAACCUCUCCGGGUAGCGGCAGCUGUCAAAAUCGUUCAGCAUAUAAAUUACAGGUGCGGAUUCAACAUUUUUAACUAAAGAAAGAAAAUCAUAAUCAAUCAAGGAACGUGAAGAGCGAAAAAACAAAUAGUUAAAGUACUUAAUAAAACUGAUAAAAAUCGUU